AGUCCGCCGAUUGACGGGCGGUGUAUUACGCCUUGAGACGUCGACGUCGAUGGAGAUGGGAAGAAUGCAAUUAGCGAGACCUGCAAUUAUGGAGUGAUUGUGAGAAGCGGCGAGAGCGCGGCAAGUGGGUUGGAGGUUAGGAAAAAUGGCGCUGGGAUGACGUAAGGUGGGGGCGCGACGGGUUUGACAUUUGGCAGGGAGACCUAUUUUUUCGUAGUCUAGGUCGAGAAAAUUAUAUAACUGAAAUUGAAAGUGCGUGAGUGAGUCCGGAGAGUCAAAAUUGUGUCCGCUUCUUAAAUUUCGAGCGCGCAGGGAGGUCUCGGCGUUGGAGGAGGAAUCCGACAAGCAGUUAAUUAGCUAUUUAAUCCUGUACUACCGCAGCUUUGUCAACUUUCUUAAUGUGAUAUGUAAUUGUAAUUUAUUUGUCGCAUUCAUUCUGCCGGGAGGAAUACGCGACUAUUUAUCUUUGUGGCAUUCGGACGGUUUCUCACGAUUUAAUUACCGCAUACCGCAAGCGCUUUCGCGAGGAAUUAAUUAGUGCGGCACCUGUGCGUUUAUUUCCUUGCGCAUUUUCGCAUUUUCCUCUUUUUGUUACAUCGUCACGUAACGACUACAUAAACAAGCGACUCCCAACGCACGAGCACUCACGUCACCUCGCCGAAAUUCGCCCAAUCCGCUUUCGUAAUUGAAAAUCUCCUAAAUAAUGGCGUUCUGAUUAGCCCGAAAGCCUACGUGUGAACAUAAAUAUAUUCAAAUUUCUAUAUUUCAUGAAUAGAGUCGCAUUUACAUAAGUUCAUGGCCCCGUCCAACCUGCGCCGACUGAAUGAACGAAGCUCGACAUGUUCGCUUUGAUUUAUGACAGUGUCCAGUGACAUCAGACACGCUGCCCAAAAUCACCACACGACCAACAACAACACCAUUUGCAUUUCCCGGAGCGGAAACCAUGGGCUAAAAAGUUCCCACAGGCCCAGCAGAACUCGCAGCAGCGUAGUGGAGCACCAUCUUGUCGAAACACAAACGUUGUAUAUUUUUAGGCGAAUUUAUAGAUAAAUAAAGCGACAGCUACACAGCUUU